GUCUACGGCCAUGUCACCCUGAAUGUGCCCAAUCUCCUCUGAUCUUGGAUGCUAAGCAGGGUUGGGCCUGGUUAGUACUUGGAUGGGAGACUACCUAAGAAUACCAGAUGCUGUAGGCG
rnacentral:rRNA from 1 species